rnacentral:lncRNA from 1 species
UUUUUUUUUUUUUAAGCAGCCUUGAAAAUGAGCUUCAGUAGUUUGAUUCGCGGUGCUCUAAGAGUACUCAUGUCAUGACCUUUCAAUCAUCUUUGAGCAAAAAGAAAAUUAAAAAUAAAAAAGGAAAGCUCAGUGCAUGGCAUUCAAGCUUUAAAUCUCUGUCUUUGCACUUGUCUUUGGUGUAAGGUCUUUCAGCAAUUUAAAGAAAGGUCGCAGCCGAUCGCAAGCUCUGAGGCUGAAAGGUCCACAGCUGAAAACUUGGGUUUGGGGAUGUUGGUUAAAUUGUGGGUUUUCUCUGUGGUUUUGUGUGUGCAACAGCGCUCUCUCUCUCCCGCUCACGUCCUCCUCAGCAGUCAAACCAACAGUCUGCAACAACUUCGGCAGUCAUUGCCAAUUCUUUUUUUUUUUUUUUUUUCGGUAUCUGAGGCAGUCUUCCUCUAAUUCGGCCACAGGAACCGGCUGCUUAACAAUAUUUUAACCGCAGCAGCAGGUGGAAGGCUGCUUUCGGAAGCAUGGCUUUUCCCUCGGCCGCCUCCGGCCAGCGGGACGGGUACCGCCAGCCUGCGCGGAGAGCCCCCGCGCACACACCGAAAACCAAGAGCAACCAACCAGCAACAGCAGUAAUAAAAACCCAACCCGAUUAAGGAAAAAGAAAAUAAAACAAAACCAAAACCCCCCAAAACACUACUUUUGAACGAGUGAAAGCUUUCCUUCCGCAAAAGAGAAGGUGGCGGCAGGCGGGCGGUGGAGGAGCCGCUGACCCCCACGGAGAGAGACAGAAAGAAGCGGGGAAGACCAAACCCCCCGAAGUUGCCAGCCAGGGUUAGAAGUGACAGCCUCCAGCCGGGACGACCGCUCAGAGGAAGCGCAUUUCCAACAGCGGAGAGCUCUCGGGUCUUCACGUGAGCCGCAGGGAACGCAGCCUUCCUGCCGCCCGCCCGGCCAACCACGGCGCCGGGAGCUCCGCCGGGCCGGGCCGAACCGGGCCGGGCUCCGCCGCUUCGCUCUGGGCCGGGCUGGGGUCCGCCCCGUGCCCC